rnacentral:rRNA from 1 species
AACGAACGCUGGCGGCAUGCCUAACACAUGCAAGUCGAACGAGACCUUCGGGUUUAGUGGCGCACGGGUGCGUAACGCGUGGGAACCUGCCCUUAGGUUCGGAAUAACUCCCCGAAAGGGGUGCGAAUACCGGAUAUUGUCUUCCAACCAAAGAGUGAUCGCCUUUGGAUGGGCCUGCGUUGUAUUAGCUAGUUGGUAGGGUAAAAGCCUACCAAGGCGAGGAUCGGUAACUGGUCUGAGAGGAUGAUCAGCCACACUGGUACUGAGACACGGUCCAGAAUACUACGGGAGGCAGCAGUGGGGGAUAUUGGCCAAUGGGCGAAGGCCUGAUCGACCAAUGACGCGUGAGUGAUGAAGGCCUUAGGGUUGUAAAGCUCUUUUACCCGGGAUGAUAAUGACGGUACCGGGAGAAUAAGCACCGGCUAACUCCGUG